AAACAGCCCCUAUGUAUUGGAUCUCUGGCCCCCAAAACUACUUUUAACUUAGUUUUCGCUGACGUGGCACCUCACUUAAGGAAUGUGGGUGCCACGUCAGCGAAAACUAAGUCAAAAAUGGCCUUGGGGGCCAAAAUUGCCAAAGAUCUAAUACAUAGUGGUUUGUUU
rfam:Medicago truncatula strain A17 chromosome 1, whole genome shotgun sequence.